GGCCAUGUUGGUUUAACAGAUCCUCAUUUGUUGGAUUCGAUUAAUGAUGAUCUUUAUCGAUUGUUAUUAGUUGCCAACACGUUUACUUUGAGAAAAUUAGAGUGCUAAAAGCAGGCUCACGCCUAUAUAUAUUGCAUGGAAUAAUGAAAUAAGAUCUCGAUUUUAUUUCGUUGGUUUUAGAAAUUGAGAUAAUGAUUAAUAGGAUCAGAGGGGGGCGUACGUACUGUGGUGUGAGAGGUGAAAUUCUUGGAUCGCCACAGGACGAACAGCAGCGAAGGCGUUCGCCAAGAAUGUUUUCAUUAAUCAAGAACGAAAGUUUGAGGUUCGAAGACGAUUAGAUACCGUCCUAGUUCAAACCAUAAACGUUGCCAACUGUCUUUUAGAUGCGGUUAUAUUUAAUGACUCAUCUGGCGGAUCUCGAGAAAUCUAAGUUUUUAGGUUCCGGGGGAAGUAUGGUUGCAAAGCUGAAACUUAAAAGAAUUGACGGAAGGACACACAAGAAGUGGAGCCUGUGGCCUAAUUUGACUCAACACGGGAAACCUUACUCGGCCAGGACACUUUUAGGAUUGACAGAUUGAGAGCUCUUUCUUGAUUAGGUGGGUGGUGGUGCAUGGUCGUUCGUAGUUCGUGGAGCGAUUUGUCUGAUUAAUUUCGAUAACGAACGAGACUCCGGCUUACUAAAUAGUCUAAAGUUCGAAGGGACUUUUUCUUAGACUUCUUAGCAGGAUAAAUGACG
rnacentral:rRNA from 1 species